rnacentral:rRNA from 1 species
UACGUAGGGUGCGAGCGUUGUCCGGAAUUAUUGGGCGUAAAGAGCUUGUAGGCGGUUUGUCGCGUCUGCUGUGAAAAUCCGGGGCUCAACCCCGGACUUGCAGUGGGUACGGGCAGACUAGAGUGUGGUAGGGGAGACUGGAAUUCCUGGUGUAGCGGUGGAAUGCGCAGAUAUCAGGAGGAACACCAAUAGCGAAGGCAGCUCGCUGGGACGGUACUGACGCUAAGGCGCGAAAGCGUGGGGAGCGAACAGG